AUGCAUCUUUUUUCCAUAAUACGCGGCGUAAGGCUGGCUGGCUGGCUGGCUGGCUGGCUGGCUGGCUGUCUGUCUGUCUGUCUUAUUAUUUUUCAAAAAAUUUGUCCCGGGACGGAAUACUUGUUUUGAAGAAUAGAACCUGGCAGAUGUAUAUUUAUUUAUUUAUUUCCUUAUUUCCUUAUUUUAUUGUUUUUCCCAAUCCCUGAUUCGGCACAUUUAAGAGGAACCUUGGAAUCUUGGACGAAGGUAGCCCUACCGCCACCAAGUUUAGUUUCAACCCUGUGCCUAAUUUUGGAGGGGAUAUCUCACAUAGUAUUUAUCGCAUUGACGCACUAGGGUUCUCUCAGCGUUGCGGCGCGUUGUUGAAAUAUCAUCCCGCACCACACAACAUAUAUAUAUAUAUAUAUAUCGAAGGAGGGUUAUAUAUUCCUUUUUUGCCGUUCGAAGGAAUAACAAGAAAUAGCAAGAAGUUUUGACUUUUCAGUUAAACUGGUGAACUGUUCGACCCCUCAGGUACUGUAUAUAAAUGGAAAGUUAUGCGCCUCGCAUCAUCGACGGCGAUCAGUGCAUCGCAUCGCAUCGCAUCGGCCCCAUCGAAAACUGAACCCCAGAGAGGAGGGGCACUGCCGUAGUCACUCACCCACUUGGACCACUGGGUGCAUCUCUACAAAGCACAUAUAUAUAUAUAUAUAUAUAUAACACAUACACACGCCCAGGUAUCUCCAUCCAUUCCACAGGAAGAAUGGUUUUGGUUGCUUCAGGGGUGGUUGGCUGUCCAGACUCGAGUGGAACCACAGAUCGAACAGUUUGAAAAAUGAAAAGGUUAAAGAUAAUAAUGAUAAUAAUAAUGUACUGCAUAGUUGGUUGACCAUUUCCCUGUUGUAUAUCCCCCCCCCUCCCCCCCUCUCUGCCUCUCUGCCAGUUUUAUGUCGAUAUCAGAACUCCUAGCCUAGUUUCCUUCCUGUUCACCACGUACCUGUGUGUGUGUGUGUGUGUCCAUCGCUCGGAAACUUGCUGAGAGGCGCUGGGCAGACGACGCGAAUAGGGAAAUACUGGAGGGAGGGAGGGUGACAUGUGAAACGAGCCGAGACCAGGUUGGAGGAGACAAACAAACGGCGGCCACUCACUCACUCACUCACUCACUCACUCACUCACUCACCCUGUCGACAUUCUCUCUCUCAAAUGUCGACUCCGGGGUUGAGUGACUGAUGAUGACUUGUGUGUUAUGUUUUCCAGCGCCCGAGAGAUGGAUGAGUGCCAUCCCAUGUCGUCUUAUCAAUUAAUCAAUGAAUAGUCAUAAGCAUCGUAAAUGGCCGGACAAGCUGGCGAGCCCAGACCCCAGGAGCCAGGCCCCAGGAACCCCC
rnacentral:sRNA from 1 species